UACGGGGGGGGGCAAGCGUUGUUCGGAAUUACUGGGCGUAAAGGGCGCGUAGGCGGCCUUCUAAGUCGGACGUGAAAUCCCUCGGCUUAACCGAGGAACUGCGUCCGAUACUGAAAGGCUUGAAUCCGGGAGAGGGAUGUGGAAUUCCUGGUGUAGCGGUGGAAUGCGCAGAUAUCAGGAGGAACACCAAUAGCGAAGGCAGCUCGCUGGGACGGUAUUGACGCUAAGGCGCGAAAAGCGUGGGGAGCAAACAGG
rnacentral:rRNA from 1 species